GAUGAACGCUGGCGGCGUGCCUAAUACAUGCAAGUCGAGCGAACGGACGAGAAGCUUGCUUCUCUGAUGUUAGCGGCGGACGGGUGAGUAACACGUGGAUAACCUACCUAUAAGACUGGGAUAACUUCGGGAAACCGGAGCUAAUACCGGAUAAUAUUUUGAACCGCAUGGUUCAAAAGUGAAAGACGGUCUUGCUGUCACUUAUAGAUGGAUCCGCGCUGCAUUAGCUAGUUGGUAAGGUAACGGCUUACCAAGGCAACGAUGCAUAGCCGACCUGAGAGGGUGAUCAGCCACACUGGAACUGAGACACGGUCCAGACUCCUACGGGAGGCAGCAGUAGGGAAUCUUCCGCAAUGGGCGAAAGCCUGACGGAGCAACGCCGCGUGAGUGAUGAAGGUCUUCGGAUCGUAAAACUCUGUUAUUAGGGAAGAACAUAUGUGUAAGUAACUGUGCACAUCUUGACGGUACCUAAUCAGAAAGCAACGGCUAACUACGUG
rnacentral:rRNA from 1 species